ACCCCACCAAGCAGGCUGCUCUGAAAAG
rnacentral:piRNA from 2 species